rnacentral:rRNA from 1 species
GGGCCCGCACAAGCGGAGGAACAUGUGGUUUAAUUCGAUGAUACGCGAGGAACCUUACCCGGGCUUAAAUUGCACUGGACAGGCUCAGAGAUGGGCCCUUCUUCGGACCAGUGUGAAGGUGCUGCAUGGUUGUCGUCAGCUCGUGCCGUGAGGUGUCGGCUUAAGUGCCAUAACGAGCGCAACCCUUGCCAAUAGUUGCCAUCAGGUCAUGCUGGGAACUCUAUUGGGACUGCCAUCGUAAGAUGUGAGGAAGGUGGGGAUGACGUCAAAUCAGCACGGCCCUUACGUCCGGGGCUACACACGUGUUACAAUGGGAGGUACAGAAGGCUGCUACCCGGCGACGGGAUGCCAAUCCCCAAAACCUCUCUCAGUUCGGAUUGGAGUCUGCAACCCGACUCCAUGAAGCUGGAUUCGCUAGUAAUCGCGCAUCAGCCACGGCGCGGUGAAUACGUUCCCGGGCCUU